rnacentral:rRNA from 1 species
UACGAAGGGGGCUAGCGUUGUUCGGAAUUACUGGGCGUAAAGCGUGCGCAGGCGGUUCGCCAAGUCAGGUGUGAAAUCCCCGGGCUUAACCUGGGAAUUGCGCUUGAAACUAGCGGGCUUGAGUGUGGCAGAGGGGGGUGGAAUUCCACGUGUAGCAGUGAAAUGCGUAGAGAUGUGGAGGAACACCGAUGGCGAAGGCAGCCCCCUGGGUCAACACUGACGCUCAUGCACGAAAGCGUGGGGAGCAAACAGG